UACAGAGGGGGCAAGCGUUAUUCGGAAUUAUUGGGCGUAAAGGGUGCGUAGGCGGGUCUUUAAGUCAGGGGUGAAAUCCUGGGGCUCAACUCCAGAACUGCCUUUGAUACUGAGGAUCUUGAGUACGGGAGAGGUGAGUGGAACUGCGAGUGUAGAGGUGAAAUUCGUAGAUAUUCGCAAGAACACCAGUGGCGAAGGCGGCUCACUGGCCCGUAACUGACGCUGAGGCACGAAAGCGUGGGGAGCAAACAGG
rnacentral:rRNA from 1 species